ACUUAAAAUUUUUUUUUAAGGCUUUAUAAACAUAAUGUAGCUUCAUCUAAUAGCCCAGUUUGCAGCCAGGCUGAGAGCACUUGAUUUUUCUUGUUCUUU